rnacentral:rRNA from 1 species
CCUACGGGAGGCAGCAGUGGGGGAUAUUGCACAAUGGGGGAAACCCUGAUGCAGCGACGCCGCGUGUGGGAAGACGGUCCUCUGGAUUGUAAACCACUGUCCCCAGGGACGAAGAUGACGGUACCUGGGGAGGAAGCUCCGGCUAACUACGUGCCAGCAGCCGCGGUAAUACGUAGGAAGCGAGCGUUGUCCGGAUUUACUGGGUGUAAAGGGUGCGCAGGCGGCUCUGCAAGUCAGGCGUGAAAGCUAGGGGCUCAACCCCUAAAUUGCGCUUGAAACUGUGGAGCUUGAGUGAAGUAGAGGCAGGCGGAAUUCCCGGUGUAGCGGUGAAAUGCGUAGAGAUCGGGAGGAACACCAGUGGCGAAGGCGGCCUGCUGGGCUUUAACUGACGCUCAGGCACGAAAGCAUGGGUAGCAAACAGGAUUAGAUACCCGAGUAGUC